ensembl:snoRNA SNORD97 small nucleolar RNA, C/D box 97
AUGCCCAGUGAUUAUAAAGAGACGCGUUAUUCUGAGGGAGAACUGGUACCAGGUUUCCUUUCUCUUGUAUCUUCUUUUUUUCACUCCUUUGUCUUUGUUCCCUUUCUCCUCCUCCCCCCUCCAUCUAUUCACCACUUUUAACUGGUAACUAGUGUCCGCUGAACGUGAUUAUGAGAUAUGAGGGCAU